GGGAUUUACAUCCUGAGUAACGUAGAUAACGCGUGAAGUCAGCCGCCUGGGGACUACGGUCGCAAGAUUAAAACUCGAAGGAAUCGACGGGGACCCGCACAAGCGGUGCAUGAUGUGGAUUAAUUCGAUGCAACGCGAACAACCUUACCUACCGUAGACAUGUCACUCACGAAGUAGAGAUACAUUAGGUGCUCGUAAGAGAAAGUGAACACAGAUGCUGCAUGUCAGUCGUCAGCUCGUGUCGUGAGAUGUUGGGUUAAGUCCGCGCAACGAGCGCAACCCUUGUCUUUAGUUGGUACGCAAGAGCACUUUAAAGAGACUGCCGGUGACAAACCGGAGGAAGGUGGGGAUGACGUCAAGUCAUCAUGGCCCUUAUGGGUAGGGCUUCACACGUCAUACAAUGGUGCAUACAGAGGGUUGCCAACCCGCGAGGGGGAGCUAAUCUCAGAAAAUGCAUCGUAGUCCGGAUCGUAGUCUGCAACUCGACUACGUGAAGCUGGAAUCGCUAGUAAUCGCGGAUCAGAAUGUCGCGGUGAAUACGUUCCCGGGUCUUGUACACACCGCCCGUCAUACCAUGGG
rnacentral:rRNA from 1 species